rnacentral:lncRNA from 1 species
GCACCAUCCAUCCCAAACACUGAAAGGUAACUUGCAGGUACCUCAGCAGGACUGUGUUGGAGCCUCUUGAGCUAACAGGACAUACCUGUGGCAACCAGACUCCUGGGAGAGGGGUUGGAGAUGAGCAGACAGGCUGUGGUGGAUGGCUCCAGGAUGACCAGUGUCCCAUCUUGCCAGGGAGGUCAACAGAAGUUUAGCCGCUGACAUCAUGAACAGGAUUGCAACCCGUAUCUGUGAUUAGUGAUGAAAUGAAACCCACAGCUUGAAAUCAUUUAUCCAUCAUAUCCGAUCAAACACAAACAUCCUCUGCACUUGAAAAUAAAUGAGGGUUGGAGCCAGCUCGCCUCUGCAGAAGUUUGUGACACGUGUGAUAGAUUGAUGAGCUGAGAACAAGCUGCCACCCUCCACCCCCAUCAUCGAUGAUUUUCCAUUCCGCCUGGAGAAGGGGACGCUGAGGCCAGAGGUGAAGGAUAUACUUUCCAAUAACUGUUUCAGUGGGAGGUGAGAAAUAUGAGUCCCUGGAGGGGCAGAAGGAAAAAAAGGAAGGCACUGUUAAGCAGGGUAGUUUAGAGAGAGCAGCUGCUUGACAGACUUCUGGCAAAGAGUGAGGGGAGCAGCAGCCCUACUCUUGCAGCACCUAUUGUUGAAUGUUACAGGUACCAGAACAGCACAGACCAUGGUCUCUGGCUGAUAUAGGCUUUUUCCAGUUGCAUAUGAAGAUAAGAGGCCUGUAAGAUGAAAGAAGAGAGCUGAUGAUGUCUGCUGGCCACUCAGUAUGGUAAUGCCAGCAACAACAAACACAGAAGGGCUCACAUCCAGCCAACUCCUCACUGCCUUUGCAGCAUCCACAGCUGCCAGUAAGGAAGGUCCUGUGCUCAGCUGAAUGGCAGCAGCCCCACCAGUUUUGUUCUCAUCUGUUUCACAGUGGUGGGCUUUUGGGGAUCAAAGCAGAAAACAAAACUUGUCUUGGAGUUCCAAUGUCACUAUUCUGUGAUUUUAAUUGGGAAGUUGGUGUUACUUGCCCUUUUCUUAUUUCUUCCUCCGUAGUGCAGCAGCUCCAGAAGCACAGCAGAGAGAUUCAGGCUCCCAGUAUAAAUUCUCCUUCAGUGCAGAGCAAAGAACAUCAGCUGAACCAAGUGGUCACAUCGUGGUCUGAGUGGGGGUACCACACUGGUGGGCAGCAGGUGGGAGAUGCUGGUACCGAUUACAGUGCCAAGAGAGUCUGCCAGGCCUGCCAGCACUGUACUUCAGGCUGUCUUCUAAAAAGUCCACUAUUGGAGUACACUGGAGAUGCACAGCUGCAAGCAGCUUGGGAAAACACUGCAGAUCGUGCUGAAAGGCACAGCUGCUACUUCUGACCUGUGAACUAUGACAUCCAGUGCUCAUACAAACAUUUAGGCGUUUAUACGGAGGUGAAGCAGUCCCAAGAACUCCAGGAGGAACCCACCAAGUCAAGUACAUGUCAGUAAGAAACAUU